ACGGAAGGCAGCAGUGGGGAAUAUUGCACAAUGGGGGAAACCCUGAUGCAGCAACGCUGCGUGAGCGAUGAAGGUCUUCGGAUCGUAAAGCUCUGUCCUUAGGGACGAAGAAGUGACGGUACCUAAGGAGGAAGCCCCGGCUAACUACGUGCCAGCAGCCGCGGUAAUACGUAGGGGGCGAGCGUUAUCCGGAAUUAUUGGGCGUAAAGAGUACGUAGGUGGCUGCGUAAGCGGGAGGUGAAAGUCCGGGGCUUAACUCCGGUCAGCCUUUCGAACUGCGUGGCUUGAGUGCAGGAGGGGAAAGUGGAAUUCCUAGUGUAGCGGUGAAAUGCGUAGAUAUUAGGAGGAACACCAGUGGCGAAGGCGACUUUCUGGACUGUAACUGACACUGAGGUACGAAAGCGUGGGGAGCAAACAGGAUUAGAUACCCUGGUA
rnacentral:rRNA from 1 species